rnacentral:rRNA from 1 species
AGUGAACGCUGGCGGUAGGCCUAACACAUGCCAGUCGAACGGCAGCACAGUAAGAGCUUGCUCUUACGGGUGGCGAGUGGCGGACGGGUGAGGAAUACAUCGGAAUCUACUUUUUCGUGGGGGAUAACGUAGGGAAACUUACGCUAAUACCGCAUACGACCUACGGGUGAAAGUAGUGGAUCUUCGGACCUUGCGCGAUUGAAUGAGCCGAUGUCGGAUUAGCUAGUUGGCGGGGUAAAGGCCCACCAAGGCGACGAUCCGUAGCUGGUCUGAGAGGAUGAUCAGCCACACUGGAACUGAGACACGGUCCAGACUCCUACGGGAGGCAGCAGUGGGGAAUAUUGGACAAUGGGCGCAAGCCUGAUCCAGCCAUACCGCGUGGGUGAAGAAGGCCUUCGGGUUGUAAAGCCCUUUUGUUGGGAAAGAAAAGCAGCAGGUUAAUACCCCGCUGUUCUGACGGUACCCAAAGAAUAAGCACCGGCUAACUUCGUG